GAUGAACGCUGGCGGCGUGCCUAAUACAUGCAAGUAGAACGUUGAAGGAGGAGCUUGCUCUUCUGGAUGAGUUGCGAACGGGUGAGUAACGCGUAGGUAACCUGCCUGGUAGCGGGGGAUAACUAUUGGAAACGAUAGCUAAUACCGCAUGACAACAGUUAUUGCAUGAUAACUGUUUAAAAGGGGCAACUGCUCCACUACCAGAUGGACCUGCGUUGUAUUAGCUAGUUGGUGAGGUAACGGCUCACCAAGGCGACGAUACAUAGCCGACCUGAGAGGGUGAUCGGCCACACUGGGACUGAGACACGGCCCAGACUCCUACGGGAGGCAGCAGUAGGGAAUCUUCGGCAAUGGACGGAAGUCUGACCGAGCAACGCCGCGUGAGUGAAGAAGGUUUUCGGAUCGUAAAGCUCUGUUGUAAGAGAAGAACGAGUGUGAGAGUGGAAAGUUCACACUGUGACGGUAUCUUACCAGAAAGGGACGGCUAACUACGUG
rnacentral:rRNA from 1 species